rnacentral:lncRNA from 1 species
UUUUUUUUGUUUUUUUCUGUUUUUUUUUUUUUUUUUUUUUUUUUUUUUUUGCCUUAUAGGGCCGCAUCCGCAUCAUAUGGAGGUUCCCAGGCUAGGGGUACUAUGCCACAGCCACAGCAACACCAGAUCGGAGCCACAUCUGCAACCUAUACACCAUAGCUCACAGCAACGCCAGAUCCUUAACCCAUUGAACGAGGCCAGGAAUCAAACACGUAUCCUCAUGGAUCCUAGUUGGGUUUGUUAAUCACUCAGCCAUGAUGGGAACCCCAUCCAGGGGAUUUAAAAAAAAAAAAAAAUGAUGGGGACAGUGGCUACUCUUUUAGAUUGGGGUCAGAAAAGGCCUAUCUGAGGAGGUGAGAUUUGCACAGAAACCUGAAGGAAGUGAGGGGGGAGGGACAAUGGGAGCAGCUGGAAGCAAGACCCCAAGGUACAAACAGGCCUGUGUUUACAGAAUACAUAAGGGGCCUGGAGUGGCUGGGUGAGCAGGUGGUGGUCGGGGUGGGUGUGAGCUUCCAGGAAGCAGCUGGCCAGUGAGGCCCCCCACUCUGGGGUCCAAGGGAGAGGCCCCAGGACUGGGACUGCGCUCUGAGCAAACAGGAGGGAGGAGGCCUUCUCUGCCUGUGUGCCAGCCAACCCCAAGCCCUGCCUGAGAGACCGCCAUCGUUUGCAGAGGUGCUUCCUGUUAACAUUUACCUUGGCUGAUGUUUAUUAAUCGAGUCUAUUAAUAGACUCUUUUUGGCCCUUCCUAAAGAAUAACUUCUAGAAGCAGCACGUCUCCCCUGUUACCCCCUGCCACGCACAGGCUUCAGAUGUUUAAAUUGCUUUUCCAUCUCUCAUCUCUUGAUCUAUUCAUUUAUUCGUCCAUAAGAGACACCCCAUUUACUGAGCAGGGAACAAGACAGAUUCAGUUCCUAACCUCACAAAGCAUAUAUUUUGUUUGUUUGUUUGUUUGUUUGGGGCCAUGUCUGCUGCAUACGGAAGUUUCCGGGUCAGGAUAAAACCUGCGCUAAAGCAGUGACCCAAGGACAACAGAUCCUUAACCUGCUGCAUGACAAGAAAACUCCUACAGAGCAUAUAUUUUUAGGGCUACACCCACAGAAAAUGGAAGUUCCCAGGCCAGGGGAUGAAUUGAUUGGAGCUACAGCUGCCAGCCUAUGCCAUAGCCACAGCCACAUCAGAUGUGAGCUGCAUCCAUGUCCUGUGCCACAGCUCACAACAAUUCCAGAUCCUCCACCCAUUGAGCAGGGCCAGGGAUGGAACCGAUGUCCUCAUGGACUAGUCAGGUUCGUUACUGCCGAGCCACAACAAGAACUCCCAAAGCAUAUAUUUUUGAUGAGAGAAAAAUCUGGAGGGCCUUGGAGGCUCAUUUUGUUCCUACUUUUGGUAGCUUAGCAGAAAGCUGGCCUGGCUGGACCAGGCCAGUGUGGGGGCAAUAGCCGAAUCCAGCUGUGGUGGAUCCCCAUGUUCCUGGGUGCUGACACUCUUCCAGGCUCUUCCUCGUCCUCUGGGUGCAGCCCUGGGCCUUGGCAAGCAAACCCCUAGGGGCUCGAACGCCAGGAUAUCCCCUGACAUACUUCUUGUAACUUAGAGAAAUUACCCAUUCCCUCUCCCCUCUUAGAUCAAGAGUGUUGCGUGGGUCCUUUUCCUGGGCAAUAGCUGCACGUCUGGCGGGCUGGCUGGGGCAGGCUGCUCUGCUGGAGCCCUGGCCAUGCAGAGGACACGCCUGCCAGGUUGCGAAUCUAUGCUGAGGAUGAUGAGAGUUCAGGGGACCUCGGACACACUCCUACUUCUCUGCUUCUGAGUUUCCCCCAGGGAUUUCCACCUGCACCUCCGGCUGUUAGUGCUGUGUCCCAGCUCCCUUGCCUGACAAUGCCAGUGGAAGGAGAUGGGGAAAAAGGAAAGACUCCACAUUCUUGUCGGUGUUAUAAAGGACAUGGCCCAGUGCCAUGGAAACAACUUAGGACUUGGACCAGGGCAGUCAGAGGCUGGGUUCUCUGGAGGCGGGAAUGGAGGGGCAGCUCAGCACACAGGUGUUUACUGGGGAGGGUUCCGAGAUCAACCCCUGCGGAUGGGCAGGUAGGAAGGGGGUUGUCCAGGGUUGGUUGGAGAUGGCUACAAGGAGGUCUUUGGUUCUCCCCGCCAUCAGUCGCUGGUCAGUCACUGGAUGCGGGCAGCCCGGAGGGGGUGACGGCUGAAGGGCCAAGGCUGCCUGCAGACAGAACUCCAGACCCGGAGCACCACAUCUUUCACUGCGGGGCAGUCUGCGUGGGGAAUGUUCUGCCCACCACGAGGCACUUGAGGAAGACUUCCAGGAGGAAGGGGCCUUUCGCUUUGGGGAUGCGGGAGUGGGCACGGAUGUGAAGAAAGGGUCAGUGUGUAAGCAGACCCAAAGGCAAGAUGGAAACCACACUCUCAAGGAGAUACACGACCCAAGAAGAAAGAUCCUUUUUCAGAUAAGAAACAACCUCAGGGAGGCUCAGGGGAACUCCUCUGAGAUGAGGGAGCCUCGGUUAGAUCCGCAGCUGUGGAUUCCGAGUCCAGAGUCCUUCCGCACCCACCAUCCCCUGCCCCAUUUGAAGAGCAGUUCCUGGUCGCUCCCUUCCCUUCUUUGAGAGGCCACAUCCUCUCCCCUCUCCCGCUCCCAGCCUCCGCGCACACAGUUCUCACAACUCUGCACAGUGAGGCACUGAUGCUCCUUCCAGGUCCAGCACAAAUUCUGCCAUUUGAAGGGCUCCUGGGCUCCCACUAAGUUUACCGUUCAGGUCAAGGGUUGGUUUGUUGUUUGGAAAGUAGAGGUCAGUCUGUGGCCAAGGUGACAGUUCAGCCAAGGAGGAGGUCAGACUGAAAUUAGAGCCCGAAGGUGACUGACUUGCAGACCAGAGUCAGGUUGGUUGGGGGCUAGGUUUAGAGUUUAGUCUAUAGAAGGGCUCAGGCAAGAACCAGGGGCAGGGGAUGAUCUGAAAUUUGAACAGAGCUCAGCCUGGAACUGGGGUCAGAGAAUGCCCUAGGGCUCUGUUUUAGAACAAGGCCAGGGGUCAGCCUGGAACCAGGAUCGGGGCUUGGAGUGGAGCUGGGGGCAAGUCUCAGGCUAGGGACAAAUUUGGAGCUUAGCCUGAGCCAGAGUCAAGGUUAAGCCUUCAGCUGGGGCUCAGGGAUGUGAGUCUAGAUCUGAGAAGGGAUGGACGACUGUCAAGGCUCUGGCAUCCCAGCCCCUCGGGCCUGGAGAUUGAGCUGCGCCCAGGCGGGAGCAGGCAGGAAAAACUCAGUGAAGCAGACACAGUUCAAACUGUCCCCCGCUGCAGUGCUGGCCUCCAGAUCCCCUAAUAACCCCCUCCCAGCCCAAGCAUGCAUGCGCGAGUGCGAGCGCGCGCGCGCGCGCGCACACACACACACACACACACACACACACACACACACACACAACGGUGUGUGGGACACAAUGAUCUGGUUACGAGACCUUUGGAAAUGCUGAGACACUGCUGGAGGCUGAUGUCUGCAGGGAGUGGUCUGCACAGAUCAGAAGGGCCCCGGGGAGAUCUGAGUCACUCCAGGCAGCCCAGGGAUGGGUGCGGGGAGGGGGGUGGCUCGCCGCUGUUCCUAAGCCUGACUAUCAUGAGAGCUUCCGUGCCCCUAGUCUUCAGAAAUCUGGGCCUCUGCAUCGACUGCCCACCAUGAGUUGCCCAGGACUGGCCCUGCCCAGACCCCCAAGUAGACAGUAGCCAAGUGUCGAGCAAAGAGCACUGGGCAGAGUGUUGGGGGCCUGGGCCUUACUGCCUUGCCUCUCCUCUCCUAACCAUCUAUAAAAUGGGAAUAAACUGACAAUCAGAGAGGGCAGGCACUGACCCUGGGUCGCACAGCUCAGUGAGGGACAGCAUGGGGACCAAAGUACUCUGGGCUUACUCCCUUGCCAAUACGGCCUCCUUUGUCCCCAGAACUGAUCCCACGUGGCCCAUGUCCCACCCUAGGCAGGCUCCCAGGGAAAGGUUGGAGAAGAAAAGAGGAGGGUGGGGAUGGGGUGGGGACAGGAGAGACCCCCCAGCUUAGGUCCGCACAGAAGCUCAGAGGCCAGGCCUGUGUGUCCAGCCCUGCACCCAGAUUCAAAUCCCAGCUUCCCCACAUACCUACUGUGUGAUCUCAGACACGUUCCCUCCCUUCUCUGAGCAGCUGCAAACCUUCAGGUGUAAAAGAGAUAACAGUCAUUUCCUCUUGUAAUUAUCAGGCAAGAAGGGCUGUAAAGGGUGGGUGGGCUCUAAAUGCUGAUGCUCCUGCCGCUGGGGCAGCCCAGCCUCAUGCUUGGUCACCGCUGUCUCAGUGUCACUGCCUUUCUGUCUCCCCACCUGCCACACUCCUUUCUGUCUUGGCUUAGACUCUCCUCUGGGCCUGUGAAAGUCACCUCCUCCAGGCAGCCCACGAGGGACCAGAGUGUUCUCUGUACUCCUUUGCAGCACUUGUCUCGACUGUCCCAUGAGGGGUGGGUUGGAGCUGUGAUAGGAUAUUGGCAGGGGUGUCUCCAUUGGCACAGGAAUGGGCCAACGGGGAUGCAGAGCUCGGGUGAUUAAUUGCUGAGCACUCACGUUCUAAAGAGAGGCCUCACCAGCUGGGGCCACAAGGCCCCUCUAGGGCUUGCCAGGAAGACCAGAUUGCCCUCCCACAGUGAGUGCCACUGCCCUGCUUCCGGGGAUUGGGCUGAGGAGAAGGAUUCCGUGGGGAUGUGAAGCCUCAGCUUCAUAUGGACGCUGUGGAUUUUCUCUCCCUUUCCACCCACCCAAGCCCCUGGGAGGCACCAGGGAAAACACGGGUUAAAGUUCCCUCCCCUUUAGGAGGGGGUUGGCGCCUCCCGCUGGGAACCCGUGCUGGUGGGGCACUUUUCUGGUCGGGGCCCAUCUGUUGGGGUUGGGGGUGGAGAGGCAGUGAAGUGGCAGUGGUGGGAGCGACUGGCCCUGGGACAGCCUGCAUGCCUGCCAUUGGCUGAGGGUCCGCAGACGGCACAGAACAGAGCAGAGCUCUGCCAUCUUGGAUACCCAUCCGGGAAGGCACCCCCCCACCCCAGGGGUCCCGAGACAGGAACCGUGGGGCAGCCUAGUGUGGGCGGGAGCUGGGAGGGGAGGAGGGAAGAGGUUGCGGAGGAACCUGAUACCCACGUCAGGGGACCGUGGGGACCAGGGCUCCCUCAGGACCCAGAGAGUGCGCACAUGUGCCUGUGGGCCACAUCGGCAGGACCAGUGCAUGGGAAGGAGCCCAGCUGUGGGUGGAUAAGAAGGAAAUGUUGCCUGUUGAGCCCUGAGUCCCUCAGCCCCUACUCCAGGGAGGCCACAACUUACAAAUGGAAAAGGAAUGGCUGACACCAGCUACAACAUGGGCGGACAUUGAAAGCACUAUGCACAGAAAAAAGCCAGGAGUUCCCAUCGUGGCGCAGGGGAAAUGAAUCCAACUAGGAACCAUGAGGUUGCAGGUUCGAUCCCUGGCCUUGCUCAGUGGGUUAAGGAUCUGGUGUUGCCGUGAGCUGUGGUGUAGGUCAAAGAUGUGGCUCAGAUCUGGCAUGGCUGUGGCUGUGGUAUGGGCCUGUGGCUAUAGCUCCGAUUGGACUCCUAGCUUGAGAACCUCCAUAUGCCAUGGAUGCAGCCCUAAAAUGCAAAAAAAGGAAAAAAAAAAAAAAAAGAAAGAAAGAAAAAAGCCAGACACAGAAGGCCAUGUAUGGUAUGACUCCAUUUAUAGGAACUGUCCAGAAACAGCAAAUCCAUAAAGAUAAAAUAUGGAUUGGUGGUUGGCUAGGGUGGAGAGCUGGUCGCAGAGGGUGGGGUAAGGGGUGUCGAAUGGAAGGGAAUUUCCCUUUGGGAUGAUGAAAUGUUUUCGAUUUGCUUGAAAUCUUGGUUGCACAACCCUAUGACUGUACUAGAAACCAUUAACGUGCACAUUUUAGAUGGGCGAGUUGUAUGCUAUGCGAACUAUAUCUCAACACAGCUGUCAUUAUAAAGUGACGGGGAUUUAGUUUGGGAUGAUAAAAAAGUUCUGGAGAUGGACAGUGGUGAUGGCUGCACAACAAUGUGAAUGCACGUAAUGCCGCCGAGCUGUACAUUUAAAAACGGUUAAAAUGGUAGAUUUUAUGUUAUGUAUAUUUUACUAUAUUUUACCGUAAUUUUUUAAAAUUAAAAAAAAUUGGGAGUUCCCGUUGUGGCGCAGUGGUUAACGAAUCCGACUAGGAACCAUGAGGUUGUGGGUUUGAUCCCUAGGUUUGCUCAGUGGGUUAAGGAUUGGGCAUUGCCGUGAGCUGUGGUGUAGGUUGCAGAAGCAGCUCAGAACCCGAGUUGCUGUGGCUCUGGCGUAGGCCGGUAGCUAGAGCUCCGAUUAGACCCCUAACCUGGGAACCUCCAUAUGCCAUGGGACUGGCCCUAGAAAAGGC